rnacentral:rRNA from 1 species
UGCCAGCCGCCGCGGUAAUACGGAGGGUCCAAGCGUUAUCCGGAUUUAUUGGGUUUAAAGGGUGCGUAGGCGGAAUAAUAAGUCAGUGGUGAAAUCCUGCGGCUCAACCGUAGAACUGCCAUUGAUACUGUUAUUCUUGAAUAUAGUUGAGGUAGGCGGAAUGUGUAAUGUAGCGGUGAAAUGCUUAGAUAUUACACAGAACACCGAUUGCGAAGGCAGCCUGCUAAACUAUGAUUGACGCUGAUGCACGAAAGCGUGGGGAGCGAACAGGAUUAGAUA